GGGGAGGGGCAGAGAGAGGGAGACACAGAAUCUGAAGCAGGCUCCAGGCUCUGAGCUGUCUACACAGAGUCUGACAUGAGACUCGAACUCAGAAGGGGGAGAUCAUGACCUGAGCCGAAGUCGGACACUCAACCGAC